UGGCGGCGUGCCUAAUACAUGCAAGUCGAACGAACUCUGGUAUUGAUUGGUGCUUGCAUCAUGAUUUACAUUUGAGUGAGUGGCGAACUGGUGAGUAACACGUGGGAAACCUGCCCAGAAGCGGGGGAUAACACCUGGAAACAGAUGCUAAUACCGCAUAACAACUUGGACCGCAUGGUCCGAGUUUGAAAGAUGGCUUCGGCUAUCACUUUUGGAUGGUCCCGCGGCGUAUUAGCUAGAUGGUGGGGUAACGGCUCACCAUGGCAAUGAUACGUAGCCGACCUGAGAGGGUAAUCGGCCACAUUGGGACUGAGACACGGCCCAAACUCCUACGGGAGGCAGCAGUAGGGAAUCUUCCACAAUGGACGAAAGUCUGAUGGAGCAACGCCGCGUGAGUGAAGAAGGGUUUCGGCUCGUAAAACUCUGUUGUUAAAGAAGAACAUAUCUGAGAGUAACUGUUCAGGUAUUGACGGUAUUUAACCAGAAAGCCACGGCUAACUACGUGCCAGCAGCCGCGGUAAUACGUAGGUGGCAAGCGUUGUCCGGAUUUAUUGGGCGUAAAGCGAGCGCAAGCGGUUUUUUAAGUCUGAUGUGAAAGCCUUCGGCUCAACCGAAUAAGUGCAUC
rnacentral:rRNA from 2 species